rnacentral:rRNA from 1 species
AUUGAACGCUGGCGGCAGGCCUAACACAUGCAAGUCGUGCGAGCGGCGGACGGGUGAGUAAUGUAUGGGGAUCUGCCUGAUGGUGGGGGCUAACUACUGGAAACUGUAGCUAAUACCGCAUACCAUCAGAUGUGCCCAUAUGGGAUUAGCUAGUAUGGGGGGUAAUGGCUCACCUAGGCGACGAUCCCUAGCUGGUCUGAGAGGAUGACCAGCCACACGGGAACUGAGACACGAUCCAGACGCCUACGGGGGGCAGCAGUGGGGAAUAUUGCACAAUGGGCGCAAGCGUGAUGCAGCCAUGCCGCGUGUGUGAAGAAGGCCUGCGGGUUGUAAAGAACUUUCAGCGAGGAGGCGUUACUCGCAGAAGAAGCACCGGCUAACUCCGUGCCAGCAGCCGCGGUAAUUC